ACUCUCUGAUGAUUCAGAAGAUGGAAAAAAAUCAUUUCUGUUCACUCAAAUGAUUAUAGUUACAAAAGAAGAAAAUAGAAUAAGAAGUCAUGAGAAUCUUGAAACCCACUGAAACCAGAAGGCUUAUUUAAUUUUAUAUAAGGAAAAACUUCCAGAUGACAGUUUUCAAUCUCAGCAGUUGAUAGUUGUAGGAAUGACAGAACAGUUGGAGCAGUGAAGCUUUAAGCUAUUGUUCUUUUCCUUGGAGUAGCCUUGAAAGAAUGCAUUCACGCAAUUACCAAGGAUGAACAGUUUUUUAACAGAUGACUAAAAUUUAAUUUCUUUUUCAUCGACAUCAGUCGCCAAGAUAAAUAUCUUGAUUCUCAACUGCUUGUAGUCAUUUGCAAAUAUGGAGGGUGCAUACAGUCUGGCUAUCAAAGCAUCUCCCAGAUGGUUCUGUUUAUCCCACUUUUACACUCUCCAGUAUUGUACAGACUGACAGAAAAAAACUCUUUUAAAUAGCCACAGAACAAAAGAAAGAAAAGAAGAUGAGAGGAAAGGAUAAAAGAGUAUAACAAGAGCGGAUGACUGGCACGUACUGCAUCCAACCAGUUUCUCUUCAUUUCUACUUAUUUGCUGACUCCACUCAUGUGGACUCCAUGGAAAUUAUGUUUGGGAUCUAUUUUCAGCUGAAAAGGAGAGAGUUUUUCCUACCCAGAUAGCUGUGUUUACACUGCACUUGAAUAUUAUAAAACAACUUCAGAGCUGCAUCUGAGGUAGCUGGAACUUGCUUUUCAUACUGGAAUGUCAAAUGGUUGUUGCUGCCUCCUUCAUGAUCCAGACACUUUUGUGCAAAAGAUAUCUAUGAGCUAAGCAAAAAUUAGGUGGCACAACCUUCAGAGAUCCUUUUUGUAUAAUUGUGAUUGUAUAACUUGUACAAUUGUGAUUGAUCCUUGUAGUAAUUCUUUGUAUCUGAGAAUUACAUGGGCAUA